CCUACGGGGUGCAGCAGUGAGGAAUAUUGGUCAAUGGACGGAAGUCUGAACCAGCCAAGCCGCGUGCAGGAAGACUGCUCUAUGAGUUGUAAACUGCUUUUGUAUGAGGGUAAACUGGUCCACGUGUAGUAUGCUGUAAGUACUAUAUGAAUAAGGAUCGGCUAACUCCGUGCCAGCAGCCGCGGUAAUACGGAGGAUCCGAGCGUUAUCCGGAUUUAUUGGGUUUAAAGGGAGCGUAGGUGGAUUGUUAAGUCAGUGGUGAAAGGUUGAGGCUCAACCGUGAAACUGCAGUUGAGACUGGCAGUCUUGAGUACAGUAGCGGUAGGCGGAAUGUGUGGUGUAGCGGUGAAAUGCUUAGAGAUCAUGCAGAACUCCGAUUGCGAAGGCAGCUUACUGGACUGUAACUGACACUGAGGCUCGAAAGCGUGGGUAGCAAACAGGAUUAGAUACCCCAGUAGUC
rnacentral:rRNA from 1 species